CAUAGCAAAAGAUACCGGAGUGUUGGUGGUUCCUGUGCUGCUCUUAUGGCUAAGAACAUUCAGGUUCAUUGAGUUUCUGGUCUCUUGGAUCACCGUGACAAAUACCUGAGCCUUUUCCUUUCCCACAGAUAUGCAUUGCAGCUUACUACAACCUCCAGAUGGGAUCUCUGGUUGCAGCACUAUGUGUCAGCCAGGAUUAUCCUAUGGGGCUGAUCACAUCUGCCACCCACACACGCUUCCUGUGGAAACUAUGGUCAGUCAAGGAUGCAGAGACACAACAGUACACAGGGAGCAGGAGGCUGGGGUGUUGGGACAGCAGCUCCAAAGCAACGUGCUGGAUUCCUCUGUAGUCACUGGAGAAAAAUCAGCACUUCUAGAACCUGAUUCUUCUUGUCCUCGUGCAGAUGUCUCCAGGAGAUCAGCACAAACUGCCCUUGAUUAGUCAUCGACCUGGUUUAGAAGUUGCACUGCUACCACACAAGCUGCGGGUUUCUAAGUUGGACCUGGAUUUGAAUUUCCCUGGCAUUAGAGGAGUUGCAUUCAGUGUUCUGGUUUGGAUCCAUCUUAAAACGGUGGAUGUCUCUGCAGAAGCAACGGGAGCAGAAGGCAGAAGCUCUUGAGUCCUGACUGCAGCUGUGAAACAGGCUUGGCGUUGAUCAUCAGGUUCCUUGCCUCAGUUUCCCCACUUGUCGUUUGAAUGAUGUCUGUGUUGCAAUCAUGCUGCAAGGCGUAGCCAAUAUUUGCGCAGCGGUGCUUUGGAGGUGCCACGCAUCAGAUCAUCCCAGGAGAUACCACUAUCAUCAGUAUAUCAAUUGUAUCUACACAGGGAACAAAAUCAGGCACAGAUGCUAGCAUAAUGUUAUGUAUUUUGGUACAAAAUGAAAUAAAAAUCUUGCCUUCUGUCCUC